rnacentral:rRNA from 1 species
UACGAGGGGUGCAAGCGUUGCUCGGAAUUAUUGGGCGUAAAGGGUAGGUAGGUGGUCUCGUUUGUCUGGGGUGAAAGCCCGGAGCUUAACUUCGGAAGUGCCCCAGAAACGGCGAGACUCGAGUCCUGGAGAGGGUCGUGGAAUUCCCGGUGUAGCGGUGAAAUGCGUAGAGAUCGGGAGGAACACCAGAGGCGAAGGCGGCGACCUGGACAGGUACUGACACUCAACUACGAAAGCGUGGGGAGCAAACAGG